GAAGUAAAAGUCGUAACAAGGUUUCCGUAGGUGAACCUGCGGAAGGAUCAUUAUCGAAUAAACUUGAACAGGCUGUUGCUGGUCCCGUCAGCCGGGAUAUGUGCACGCUUGUCAUCUUUAUCAUCUCUCCAACUGUGCACAUAUUGUAGACCCUGGAGGUCCAUGUGUUCUGGAUUCCUUCCGAGUUGGGACUGCUGUGCUACAACGCCGGCUUUCCCUUGAAUCAUUUCCAGGGCCUAUGUCAUUUCAACCUCUCAAACUUGUUUAGAAUGUUGAAUCAGGUCAUUUUGUACCUAUAAAGUUAUAAAUACAACUUUCAGCAACGGAUCUCUUGGCUCUCGCAUCGAUGAAGAACGCAGCGAAAUGCGAUAAGUAAUGUGAAUUGCAGAAUUCAGUGAAUCAUCGAAUCUUUGAACGCAUCUUGCGCUCCUUGGUAUUCCGAGGAGCAUGCCUGUUUGAGUGUCAUUUAAAUUCUCAACCACAUCUUGAUGUGGCUUUGGACAUGGGGGUUUUUGCGGGCUUUCCUUUCAAGUCGGCUCCCCUGAAAUGUAUUAGUGGUAUCUGGAGCAGAGACUGCUAGGUGUGAUAAUAUCAUCUAUGCCUGUGGUAUGCUGCAUGAACAGAUUGUGCUGCUUCUAACACACAUUUUGAUUUUGACAAACUGACCUCAAAUCAGGUAGGACUACCCGCUGAACUUAAGCAUA
rnacentral:rRNA from 1 species